rnacentral:tRNA from 2 species
UCCAGCCGCAGAACGCGAGGGAGGCUUUGUUGCCGUUCCAGUCGGCGUACGGGGCGAUCGUCUCGUACGGCUCGAA